AGGAAGCAGCUUGCUGCUUCGCUGACGAGUGGCGGACGGGUGAGUAAUGUCUGGGAAACUGCCUGAUGGAGGGGGAUAACUACUGGAAACGGUGGCUAAUACCGCAUAACGUCGCAAGACCAAAGAGGGGGACCUUCGGGCCUCUUGCCAUCAGAUGUGCCCAGAUGGGAUUAGCUUGUUGGUGAGGUAACGGCUCACCAAGGCGACGAUCCCUAGCUGGUCUGAGAGGAUGACCAGCCACACUGGAACUGAGACACGGUCCAGACUCCUACGGGAGGCAGCAGUGGGGAAUAUUGCACAAUGGGCGCAAGCCUGAUGCAGCCAUGCCGCGUGUAUGAAGAAGGCCUUCGGGUUGUAAAGUACUUUCAGCGGGGAGG
rnacentral:rRNA from 1 species